UCCUCGUUCAAAGGAUCGCAGUCGAAGCACACAAACGGAGCAGACACAUUUAUUGUUGUCUCUCAGCCUGUCAUGGGCUAGUCAAUGCUUUGGGAGAAAGUCCCCGGACGACCUUCUUCUACAACUCGUUGUGGAAAAAAGGAACGCGGAAACGCGCCGCCAUAGAAGCAUACUGCGGCUUCUUAUUUUCUCCUCUCCUUACCUUUCUUCAGAUCGACCUUUGCCGUCGCUUGUACUCGCUUUCGGCGCUUUUGAUUGCUGCUGCUGGGGGAGGGGGAGACCUUAUGGAUGAAGAUAUGAGUCCGAGCUCUCCUGAUCUCAGUUGUGGUAGAGCAUUUGCAAUGAUUGCGGGGAGGCGGGAAAGUGUCUUCGGUCUGGGUUGGGGUUUAUGGGAGGGGGGAGGCUUUCGUCGAGAGUGAUAGUUAUGCGAUUGCUCUUCUUUCCAGCUUCACGGUUGGUCAAGGAGGGUAACUCGAUGGGGCUUAUUCUUGAGACGAGG
rnacentral:RNase_MRP_RNA from 2 species